rnacentral:tRNA from 1 species
GCUCCCCUGGCGUAAUGGUAACGCGUUGGACUUCUAAUCCGAAGACUGCGGGUUCGAGCCCCGCGGGGAGUG